AACGAACGCUGGCGGCAUGCUUAACACAUGCAAGUCGAACGGGCUUAUGGGGCUUGCUCCAUAAGUUAGUGGCAGACGGGUGAGUAACGCGGGGGAAUGUACCUUUUGGUUCGGAAUAACUGCGGGAAACUGUGGCUAAUACCGGAUAAGCCCGUGAGGGGAAAGAUUUAUCGCCAAAAGAGCAGCCCGCGUUAGAUUAGGUAGUUGGUGGGGUAAUGGCCUGCCAAGCCUGCGAUCUAUAGCUGGUCUGAGAGGAUGAUCAGCCACACCGGGACUGAGACACGGCCCAGACUCCUACAGGAGGCAGCAGUGGGGAAUAUUGGACAAUGGGGGAAACCCUGAUCCAGCAAUGCCACGUGAGUGAUGAAGGCCUUCGGGUUGUAAAGCUCUUUUGUCAGGGACGAUGAUGACGGUACCUGACGAAUAAGCUCCGGCUAACUUCGUGCCAGCAGCCGCAGUAA
rnacentral:rRNA from 1 species